UUCCGGUCUGUUUCUGCACCAUUGUUUUCGCUGACAGAAUGAAAACACAAGGCCCAAACAGAUGCAGAAGAAUACGCAUCACACGUGGUUCCUGUUGACAUUAAAUCAAGCAGAGGGCUGGGAACAGAGGAAGCGGACUAAUUAAUGGAUCGAUUGCUUAUCAGCACAGUAAAUCAGUGAAACUUGUAUUCAGCUUUCCCUCUUAACAAGUAAUUCACAGCACAGUUAAUAGAG
rnacentral:lncRNA from 1 species